rnacentral:lncRNA from 1 species
GCAAGAGCAGUGGAUGAAUGUUUGUGUUGGUGAUAUCAUCAAGCUAGAAAACAACCAGUUUGUGGCGGUAAGGGAAAAGUGGCCGCUCUAGGCCUACAGGGCUCACCUUCCUCUUUAGCAGAAAGGGAUGAGUCCUUCCUGAUUCCGUUUGCCUUUUAAACACCCAUGGAAGGAGACUGUCUUGGGUGGAGGGCUUAAUAUGCCUGGGACCUGCUGUUAAUGUGCUUGGAACUAGGAAGGAUGCUCGGCGGGGGGGGGGGGGGGGGUGUGAGGUGGGGAGGAGGAUCCUUGCAGAGCCUGCUGCAGGUGGAGACCUGCGUAUCUGGACUUCUCAUUAGGGCUUCUUUCCAGGCGGAUCUCCUCCUCCUCUCCAGCAGUGAGCCCCAUGGGCUGUGUUACAUAGAGACGGCAGAACUCGAUGGGUAAGUGGCAUGCUCAAGGGUCAGUCCUUUUACUUCCUUUUUAGGGGUGAAAAGAUUGUUUUUGAAAGUGGGUCUCAGGCCUGGGCUUAUACCUUUUGGAAAAUUUAGGGGUAAGAAAGACUUUGGAGCCAGGUAUGGUGGCACAUGCCUGUGAUCUCAGAGACUCGGGAGGCUGAGGCAGGAGGAUGGAAUGUUUGAGACUAGCCUGGGCAACUUAGUGACACCCUGUCUCAAAAAAAAAAAAAAAAAAAAUUAGAAAGGGCUGGGGACGUAGGUCUGUGGUAGAGCACCCGUGGGUUCAAUCCCCAGUACGGGGGUGGGGUGGAGGGGAGAACGCUUUGGGAUACGUAGUAUUUGCUGUGCUGAGAAGUGGGAUGCCCGUGGUCAGGUGCUCCCAAGCAGGCUACUGGGUGGGUAGGGAGCCGGGACUCAAGGGAACUGUCCUUCUAGAGAGACCAAUAUGAAAGUGCGCCAGGCAAUUCCAGUCACCUCAGAACUGGGAGACAUCAGUAAGCUUGCCAAGUUUGAUGGUGAGUAAUCUUGGAGAAGCAGUCUUCAGGUAAAAGAGGUGGGUUGGGUUUUAGAAUUUAAAUUGUACCUUUUCCUUUUGGCUUCUGGUUGCUGUGAUUAUGCAACUCCUUGGAUUUGGGGGUGGGGGUGCUGGGAAUGCCAAGUGGUUGCAACUUGAUGAUCAUUUCAAGGAAGCCUUGAGACUGAUAGCUCCCCACUUGCUGUGCAUCUUGAGAGAAAUUCAGCUUAUACUGUUUGGGUGUUAGCUCAGAAUAAUGAUAUGUGCUCCUUAUAACAAGACAGACUGCCAGGCAUGGUGGCACGUGUCUGUAAUCCCAGCAAUUUGGGAGGCUCAGGCAGAAGGAUUACAAGUUUGAGGCCAGCCUCAGCAACUUAGUGAGACCCUUAGCAACUUAGUGACACUCUGUCAUAAAAUAAAGAAUAAAAAAGACUGCAGAUGUAGCUCAGUGGUAGGGUACAUCUGUGUUCAAUCCUAGUAACACAUACACAAAGACAACUAUACAGAGUGUAUAAGAAAGUUUAUGGUCACUCCUGCCCUUCUUAGAUGACCAUGUUAAUUAACAGUCAGUCCUGUUAGUAUAGUAAUCUACAUUUUUACAUAUGUUUGUAUACAUAAAAAUAAAAAAUGCAAUUCUUUUGUACUGAAGUUUCUACCUUUUUUGCUUAUUAAAUAUGUCAUAAGCAUCUUAUCAUCUGUAUAAAGAAUUUUACCUUUUUCUCUUUAGUAGCUGCAUGAUAUUUCAUAGAAUUGUUGUGUCACCAGAGCCAGCCUGGGCAACUUAGAGAAGACCUUAGUAUAGAGCACUUGCCUAGCUAUGUUCAAGGCCCUGGAUUCAGUCCCUAGCACCGAAAAAAAACCUGAUGUAUCAUAAUUUAUUCAUCUACUCCUGUCCAUUCAGUGGUUUCCAGUCUUUUGCUGUCCUGAUAAUGCUUCAAUAAAGGAUAUCAUGCUCUAUUUAGUAGGAUAGAGUGAGUGACCAAAUUGGAAUUACUGAGUCCAAGCUUAUAUGUACUUUUUUUUUUUUUUAACCCAGGGAAACUUAACCACUGAACCACAUCACCACCCUUUUUUUUAAUAUUUUAUUUAGAGACAGGGUCUUGCUAAGUUGCUUAGGGACUCACUAAGUUGCUGAGGCUGGGUUUGAACUUGCGAUCCUCCUAUCUCAGCCUUCAGAGCUAUUGGGAUCACAGGCAUGUGCCACUGCACCCGGCAUAUGUAUGUACUUUUAAUAUUAGUAUAUGCUGUCUCAUUCUUUUUCUGAAAAGUGACAUCAGCUCACACUCUUGCCAGCAGUAUGCAAAUGGGUCCCUGUCCUUACUCUUUCUCCUUUAGCUACUUUUUCUCUCUGUUUUAUUGUCAUGUGAUCGAAUUGUAAACUAGAGCUUGAGCCGUGUUACUCUUAUUUACCGUCCAGGUGAAGUGAUCUGCGAACCUCCCAACAACAAGCUGGACAAAUUCAGUGGAACCCUCUACUGGAAGGAAAGCAAGUUCCCCCUGAGCAACCAGAACAUGCUGUUGCGGGGCUGUGUGCUACGAAACACCGAGUGGUGCUUCGGGCUGGUCAUCUUUGCAGGUGAGCCUUCUAGCAUCCAAAGGAAGAAUGUGACUCAGCCCUCCCUCAGGAGUAUGGGUUGAAACUGGGUGGGUUGGCAGAGUGCAUAAGGUACAAAACCUCCAGCCCUGAAUACAAGUCUCUUGUCCACCUAGUGUCUCCAUUCCAUCCUGAUGUACUACCUCUGGAGAUCAGAGCAGAAAUUCAGAGACAGUUUUGUUAUUUGGCUUCCCAUUCUUUUCUAGGUCCUGACACUAAGCUGAUGCAGAACAGCGGUAGAACAAAGUUCAAGAGAACAAGUAUUGAUCGCCUAAUGAAUACACUGGUGCUCUGGGUAAAAUCCCACAUAUAUUUCCCUCUCUGCCCUUUUGGUUCUCCCUGGGUGGUUUCCUUGGCUUCCAUUGCUCUUCCCUGGUCAAUAGUCAGGCUUUGGAUUUGGUUUUAAAGUCACUGCAGGUUAGCUACUCAAAGGCAAUGUUUAUUUCAGGUUUCUUUUAGACCUGGAAGAUGUUUUUUUAAAAAACCUUAGGAACGUGCAUGAAUCAACAACUUAAAGCUAAAACAAUCGUCCCUUCUCUGGAUCCCAGUUAUGAUGAUGAUGACUUAGUGCAUCAUGUGACCUUCUGUUUACCUUUGCCAGAGACAAGGAGGCCUUCAUGAGGAUGGAGAGGGAAUUAAAAGAAAAAAUUUCCACUUGGAAGUUGGUUAGCAGGGUCUUUCCCCCCAAACUUAUAAGGAUGAAGAAUCCCAAAGGAAAAGUUUCUGUUUUCAUUUUUGGCAAUUCCUGAGUCCUUCUCUUGUUUAGCUAGAAAUCUGAGCUCCUUGUUAAACAUUGCUCCCUUCUUGCACCCUCCUGCCUGCUGCCUGCCCCCCACAUGCCAGCUUGCAAAGCCUGGGGCCACCCUGGUUUUAAAGGGCUUGCAAAAUUCCAGUUUGAGGGAGCUCCAGGGCAGAUUUUGCCUGUAGAGGCUCACAUGGCCCCCUGGUGGUCGUUGGGCACCAGGAUAGUUCCUGUUUUAUUUCAAACUCAAUGGUGAAGAUGGCUUUGGAAAUAACUGUCAGAGAGAAAAAAGAAAAAAGUAAAUAGAUAUCAGAAACCAGACAUGGAUUUUGGUUAUUUUUCCUCUCUCUCUCUCUCUCUCUCUUUUAUAUACGUUCAUUUUAUUUAUUUUUAUGUGGUGCUGAGGAUGGAACCCAAGGUCUUGCAUGUGCGAGGCGAGCGCUCUACUGCUGAGCCACAGCCCAGCCCUUGGUUAUUCUCUUAUAAUCACCAGACUUUCUUAUGAUCCUUCAUCAAGGACUCCAAGCUGUUUUGAUUAAUCAAGAAAUCUGGAGUUAUCAAGAUACAGUUUGUUUCCCUGGUUUGUUUUAUUUAUUAAUGGGCACUGGGGAUCAAACCAAGGGGUACUUUACCACUGAGCUACAUCCCAAGCCCUUUUUAUUUUUUAUUUUAAGAGUCUCGCUAAGUUUUUUGGAGCCUUGAUAAAUUGCAGAAGCUGGCCUCGAAUUUUUGAUCCUUCUGCCUCAGCCUCCCAAGUUGCUGGUAUUACAGGCAUGUGCCACUAUGCCCAGCUUCUGUUUCCCUGGUUUAAAAAAAAAAAAAAUGGGCUGGAGUUGUGGCUCAGCAGUAGAGCGCUCGCCUAGCACACAUGAGGUGCUGGGGUUCGGUCCUCAGCACCACAUAAAAAUGAAUAAAUAAAAUAAAGGUAUUGUGUCCACAUGCAACUAAAAAAAUAUUUAAAAAAAAAUAACAGUCUGUAUAAAAUAGACAUUAUAAGGGCUAGAGGGCUGGCUCAGUGAUAGAGCACUUGCCUAGCAUAUGCGAGGUUCUGGGUUCAAUCCUCAGCACUGCAAAAAAAAAAAUAAGUAAACAUAUAUACAGGCAUAUAUAUACUAUAUUUUAUAUAUAUAUACACCUACGUGUGUGUGUGUGUGUAUAUAUAUAUAUAUAUGUGUAUAUAUAUAUAUAUAUAUAUAUAUAUAUAUAUAUAUAUAUAUAUAUAUAUAAUAGUAACUUGGCAUUUUUGUUGGUUUGUGAAGGCUUAGCCCAGGUAAAUGGGUAAUUUGCACUAAGUGUUUUUGGUGUGUGAAAUGUAGUUCACCCCACUCACCAACCUUAAAGACUCCUGAUUGGGAGCAAUUUCUCUAUUUCAGCUUCCCCACUGUAUACAUGAGGAAAUGUUCAGAGAGGGCCAUGUGGUGGUCAGUGGCAGACCAGAGCCAGUUCUGAGCUCAUUCCAAUAGAUCAUUCUAAUAAUUCAAAUAUGCCUAUGAUUUUUAGGGCUCAGGCCUGAAUAGGAACUUCCUUCAUGGGGACAUUUGUUUUCUAAGUCUCUGAUUAGUUUCUGUUUCUCAUUCCUCAGAUUUUUGGAUUCCUGGUCUGCAUGGGGGUGAUCCUGGCCAUUGGCAAUGCCAUCUGGGAACAUGAAGUUGGGACACGCUUCCAGGUCUACCUGCCCUGGGAUGAAGCGGUGGACAGUGCCUUUUUCUCUGGCUUCCUCUCCUUCUGGUCCUACAUCAUCAUCCUUAACACCGUUGUGCCCAUUUCACUAUAUGUCAGGUAUGUUGUUCUCUGCUCUAGGUUCUGUCCAGGGAGCCCAGUGGUCCUUUGAUAAACUUUUCUGUAAAUAUCCAAUCAUUGAGAAGGAACAUGAAAUCCUUUUCUUCUGUACUGUGAGCAUUUUGUGUUGUCUUUUUAUCUUUGUGUACAAAGUAGACUUUUUACCAGUUUCCUGGCACUGGGAGUGUAUUAGAGCAAAACCCUUGAGCAUAUAUUUAGCAUAUGUGUAAUGCAUGCACUAUGUGCAAAGAAGCGAGGUAGGCACUGUAGCACAUAGAAAUUGGAAUGGAUCUCCUUUACUCUAGGAGCUUAGGUCCAAAAGAACAAGAAAAAUCUAAACACAUUAUAAAAAAAAAAUUGGGACUAAGUCCUGUAGAAGUCAUUCUAUCCUCAGCAUUACAUAACACUGAGAUGUGUCAGAUGGCCUGUGCCUUCAAAAGCAGUAGCCUGGCGGUGGGGAGUCGGAACCUGGUCAGACACUGAUACACCAUGCAGGAGGCAUCAGGUGCCCAAGGUGGGGACGAGCCCUGCUCCUCAGGCAGGAAAUUAGGGAAAACAUCUCAGAAGAGAUGAGUGAAGGUGGAAUUGGAAAAGAGAGGAGGAGAAAGGGCUAGGAACAAUGGCAAGGAAGUGGGCACUGGGAAUGGCCUUGGGACAGCAGAGAGUAGGGACGGUGAGUGAGGAGCUGUGGGAGAGAGACCCGGAAACAACGGCUCACUCCUGACUGUGAAGGGUCUUCAAUCUUGGCCUGUGGCCUUGGACUUCAUAAACCAUUAUAAGGUCUUUGGAAAAAUGAAUAAACAACAAAAAAAGAAGUCAUUUGAAAAAUAAAUUCUAAAAAAACCUAAAGCAGCUUUGGGCAGUGGAGUGCAGCAUGUGUCGGGUCAGGGGCCCAGGCAGGGUGCUUGGAUGCUUGAGGUAAAGAGAGUGUCACAGGGACAGGCCAGUAAGAGUGGAAGGAGGAGGGGGCUGGGAGAGGUGAAAGGAAGAAUCCAGGAGAAAGAAACUUUCCUACCGUGUACCUUGUAUUUGAGAUAAGGGGGCCUGUGACAUUUUAUAGGAAAUUCUUUGUGGAGGUAUUCAGAAUCUUCCUGUCUCCUGUGUUUAAUUGACAGUUUCCUCAAGUAGUCCUCAAUUCUCCUACUGGCCCAAAGUCCUAGGAUUGAUUAUGAUGAAUAGAAGAUGAAGCAUUUCUUUGCCAAGAAAGUACAGUUUGGGCUUUUUUCGAGCACAGAGAGGAGAGUCAGAAGGUUCUUGGUUUAGUCCUGCCUGCUCGACUAGAUUUGACAUAUGACCACAGUCACUUGAGGCUUUCUGGGACUUCUGGUUUCUCCUGUAAAAUGGGACCCCUGUUUCAUCUUCCUCACAGGGAUGUUUUGACGUAAGACACUAGUUUGGAAAACACAGGUUAUAGCUGGACACGGUGGUGCACGCCUAUAAUCUCAGUGACUGUGGAGUCUGAGGCAGAGGAAUUGCAAAUCCGAGGCCAGCCUGGGGACUUAGCAAGAUCCCGGGUUAAAACAAAAAAUAAAAAGGGGGGUUGCGGUUGUAGUUCAGUGGUAAGAGUGCUUGCCUUUUGUGUGUGAGGCACUGGGUUUGAUCCUCAGCAUCACAUAAAACAAACAAAUAAAUAAAAUAAAGGUAUGUGUCCAUCUACAAUUAAAAAAAAAAUUAAAAAAAUAAAAAGGGCUGAGGAAUGUAGUUCAUGGGUGUCCCUAGGUUUGAUCCCUAGUACCCUCCACCCAGAAAAAAAAAAUCACUAUACAAAUAUUGGAUGGUGUAUAUCUGUUAUCAUUGCAACUCUGGUUCUACAUUAUUAUUUAUUUAAAUGUUUUUUCCCUUAAAACCUAAUUUUGUUUUCUUUUCUUUGGGCUUUCUUGUCCCUGUUUUGUAUCUAAGUCUAUUUGAAGCCCUUGGGAGCUGCCUGAGGAAGUUUUCUAAGUCCCAUCAAGUUAUAGUAUGUCUUGGGGUGGGGUGGAGGAAGGGUUAUAAGCUGCAUGGGGAAAAGAUUAUGAUGAUAUUUCCAGCUACCUCAGUUUUUACCUGGUAAUAGGGUCCUGAUAGGAGCUUCUGUCAGGUCAGAAGCAAAGUUCCCGAUAAGCCCAUUGCUGCACCUCUGGACCUAAACACAGGGCCCUUUCUGGAAAUACUGUGAGCCCCUAUCCAAAGAAGACGAGGAGCUGCCUAAGCAAAGGAGAGGAUGGGGACUGUCAGAAGUCCCAUCCCCUGUAACUCGGCACUGUCCCCUACGUUAUUGCAACCCCUCUCCCUUCUGGAGUCAGCCCCUCAGCUUUGCCACAGAGUUGGGGUGUGGGGCCCAGGUGGAGGGAGAACGCUCCGUGUGCUGGGGCAGCAAGGAGCGAGUGGGCCGUGCUGCGUCUCGGUUUUCGUUCCCAGCCUGGCCCCUUGGAGGUGGCGCUCUCGCCUUGGCGCGCACAGCACCCUCAUUAUCUCUCUCUUUUCUCUCUCCCUUCCCUCUCGCACUUUCUCUUGUUUUUUUCUGCGUGGUUUCUGUAUUAUUAGCCCCGAGGUAAGAACUGGUUGAGUGCCUUGUCUGCAGUCCUUUCCUCCCUCCACCGUGCGCUCUGUCCUGCCUGCCCAGGCCUGUUGCACCUUCUUGUCUAGAGAGUGUCAGGAGGGGCGGGUUGGGGAGUACUUUGCUGGCUGUACCUGGCUGGCUCACCUGCAGGCUCUCCCUGCCCCUUCCCACCCAGGUUCCUGUGCCCAGGUGUCUUCUCCGUUCUCGUUUCUCCCCAGAUGGAGGGCCUGCAGCGAAGGCCCAUGUGGGUGGGGCACCUCUUCCCCUUCUCGCACCAAGCCUCACCUCCUGUCCUCUGUGUAGUGUGGAGGUCAUCCGUCUGGGUCACAGCUACUUCAUCAACUGGGACAAGAAGAUGUUCUGCAUGAAGAAGCGGACACCCGCUGAGGCCCGCACCACCACCCUCAAUGAGGAGCUAGGCCAGGUGGAGUACAUUUUCUCCGACAAGACUGGCACCCUCACCCAGAACAUCAUGGUUUUCAACAAGUGCUCCAUCAACGGCCGCAGCUACGGUAUGGCGGUGCCGCGAGGGUUGGGCUGCACAUCUCGCUUGGAAAGAGAAUGGAACCAGGGCUCUUAUAGUUGUCUGACAUUGGACUUUGCUUCUUUGCUAUUUGGGUCCGAGAGUCCUUGAGAGGGUCUGUUCUGUAUCCCGUGCCAGGAAGCAGAUCCUGAGUCUUUUCCUCGUCCUCACUUGGUACCCUUGCCUGGUCUCAGCUCCAGGCACUAGGGGAGCUCCUUGGAUGUUUAGAGUGAGGCCCAGACACUGCCCUCUGGUCAUCCUGGCCAGGUUGGACCUUGGCUGACCCAGUGGAAUUCUAGACUCACCCAUGUUGCUUGUCAUAAGGGCCCUGUGAGUCUCUGGAGUGUGCCCAUGGUCUUCCCAGUGUGGCCCUGUCCAGUGGCCUUGUGGCUGAACUGCUGGGGUGGCUGGGGCAGGGGGUGUGGGGGCUGGCCUUUGUACGGGGUCAGCCCCUGCUGUGACUGCUUCUGUACUAACCUAGACCUGUGCCUAGUGGGUGAGGCUUCGUCUGCUGUGCAGGCCUACAGGGUGCCCAGGAGCCCUGGCUGGUGCAGGUGAAGAAUUGGAACUGCCCUGAGGGGACAGCUGCUGGGAGGUAGUGGGGACAGGAAUGGUGAGCGGUGGAUCCCACGACACUCUUAUGGCCACAGUUCUGGAUUCUGGCACCCAGGACGCCUAUUGCCUACUGUCCCUUGUGUCAGUGGUGUGUGAGUGAUAUCUGCUCAAUGACCAGGCUGAGGGUUCCCAGUGCUUGCAGGGAUCUGUAUUAGAGGCUUAUCCCCAGUGCUGUAGAGAUCUCCAGCUCUGAUUUUGCUUCUCCUUCUGUCGUGGCUGUGUGUAGGUGACGUGUUUGAUGUCUUGGGACAUAAAGCGGAGUUGGGAGAGGUAAGAGCCAGUCUCCAUAAUUGUUGUGUGUACCAUUAACAUAGGGCGCCUGAUGGGAACCGUUGGCAUAAUUAGGAGAGCUGUGUUGUCUGGGCAGGAAAUGGAAGCAGCUUGGAGAAAUGGAUAUGAGAAAAAAGAACUUGUAGCAAAAUGGGAAUUUUGAGGUCCACAGUGGUUUCCAUCUUGGGCUCUUCUACUGAGAGGUGGGUGGGCAGGGACAGCCUCUUUCCUGGGCUGUAGCUGACAACCCAGCUUUUCCUAAGGGCCUUCUUACCUGUUGCAGAGGCCCGAACCCGUCAACUUUUCCUUUAACCCUUUGGCUGACAAGAAGUUCUUAUUUUGGGACCCCAGCCUCUUGGAGGCUGUCAAGAUGGGGGACCCCCAUACACAUGAGUUCUUCCGCCUCCUCUCCCUGUGUCACACUGUCAUGUCAGAAGAAAAGAAUGAAGGUGAGCCGAGGAGCUGGUUCCUCCCUACCCUCACCCAGUUGGUGCUCUUGGGCCCUGCUCUGCGUUGCAGUGCUGCUGGGCUGAGGCUUCCUGAGGGUGGCCACUCAUGCCAUGCCAUGCGUGUUCUUCCUGCCCAUCUAGGAGAACUAUACUACAAAGCCCAGUCUCCUGAUGAGGGCGCCCUGGUUACUGCAGCCAGGAACUUUGGUUUUGUGUUCCGCUCUCGCACACCAAAAACCAUCACUGUCCAUGAGAUGGGCACAGCCAUCACCUACCAGCUGUUGGCUAUCCUGGACUUCAACAAUAUCCGCAAGCGGAUGUCAGUCAUAGGUGAGGCCAGGACUGGGAUGUGGGGGGGUUGGGGCAGCACAUAGGCCUGGAAUGGGCCGGGUAUGCUGAGGGCUCGGAAUGAUGGGUUUAGACUGCGGGUAUUUGCCUGUCUGAAUUUUUCUGGCACUUUUCUUGCCCCCUGCCGUAUGCCCAGUGCGGAAUCCAGAGGGGAAGAUCCGACUCUACUGCAAAGGGGCCGACACCAUCCUGCUUGACAGACUGCACCACUCUACCCAGGAGCUGCUCAACACCACGACCGACCAUCUGAAUGUAGGUGUGAGGGAGGGGGACUGGCCUGCUGCUGUGCUGCGCUCAGCGUUGGGGUGGAAGCAUGGCUUUCUCUUUUGUGUGUCUCUUCUUGUGUUUAUUGAACACAUUUAAGGUGUACAAUGUGAUGUUUUGAUAUACUAGGUGAAAUGAUCACUGCAAUCAAGCAUAUUAACUUUUCCACCAUCUCUUUAUUUAUUUGUUUGUUCAUUCAUUUAUUUGUGUGGUAAGAAUACCCAAAAUCUCUCCCAGCAAAUUUUUUUUGGGAGGACUGUUCUGGAGAUUGAACCCAGGGAACUGUAGACUGAGCUACAUUCACAACCCUUUUUGUUUUGUUUUGUUUUGUUUUGGGUACAGGGAUUGAACUCCGCGCACACAAUCGCUGAGCCACGUCCCCAGCCUUAUUUUGUAUCUUAUCUAGAGACGGGGUCUCACUGAAUUGUUUAGUGCCUUGCUUUUGCUGAGGCUGGCUUUGAACUUAUGAUCCUCCUACCUCAGCCUCCCAAGCUGCUGGGAUUACAGGCAUGCACCACCUCGCCCAGCCACAACCCUUUUUAUUUUGAGAGAGAGGCUCACUCAGUUGCCCAGUUUGGACUUGCAGUCUUGGACUUGGCCUGGGACUUGCAGUCUUCUUGCCUUAGCCUCCUGAGUCUCUGGAAUUAAAGGCAUGCACCACUGCAUCCAGCUGUAGAUUUUAACUGUGGUCCUCAUGUUGUACAUUAUUAACUCUCUAAACCUACUCAGAGGUGCAUUCCUGACUCUGCCCCCAGGAGUAUGCAGGGGAAGGGCUGAGGACCCUGGUACUGGCCUACAAGGAUCUGGAUGAAGAGUACUAUGAGGAGUGGGCCGAAAGACGGUUGCAAGCCAGCCUGGCCCAGGACAGCCGGGAGGACAGGCUGGCCAGCAUCUAUGAGGAGGUUGAGAGUGACAUGAUGGUGAGGGCACAAGGAUGGCCUGAGGGUGGGCAAGGAGGACUUGUGCCUGUGACCCUCAUGCCAGGAGUCCUUGUAUUUUCAGCUGUUGGGUGCAACGGCUAUUGAGGACAAGCUGCAGCAGGGGGUUCCAGAGACCAUUGCCCUCCUGACGCUGGCCAACAUCAAGAUCUGGGUGCUUACUGGAGACAAACAAGGUGAGAGCCCAACAGGGCAGAGGAAGUUACACCUGGGCAGUAUUCCCGUUGGAGCCUUGGUGGAGCCGCGGGCACCAGGCUGACCUGUCGGGAGCCUGCCUGUAGCCCCUGCACUCUUUCUUGGCUAGAGACUGCUGUGAACAUUGGCUAUUCCUGCAAGAUGCUGACGGACGACAUGACAGAGGUGUUCAUAGUCACAGGCCACACUGUCCUGGAGGUGAGAGAGGAGCUCAGGUAAGCCAGAGGCCCAGGGACAGGCUGGGGUUUCUGAAUCCUAUUGAGACUUCUGUCCUGAUUCACUGCUGUUGUCCUGGGUCACCACCAUUCCAUCUCUACCUUCACAGGAAAGCCCGGGAGAAGAUGAUGGACUCUUCCCGCACCGUAGGCAACGGCUUCACCUGCCAGGAGAAACUUUCUUCUUCCAAGCUCACAUCUGUCUUGGAGGCCGUUGCUGGGGAGUAUGCUCUGGUCAUCAAUGGUCACAGCCUAGUAAGUGUUAUCAUCCUUAGCUUGAGUGGUAUUCUUCCAGAAAUCCCUUUUCUCAAUACGGCUUGUAGAUUUUUUUCUUCUCAUUUCCCUUGACUUCAGAGGGGGUUGUGAUCUUCAAGGGGCAGGGAAGAGCUGAAGCCACUAGGUGUUCCCUGGGAAGACUGUGCCUCUUUCAGGUGUUCUGUGUUCCAGGCCCAUGCGUUGGAGGCAGACAUGGAGCUGGAGUUCCUGGAAACAGCGUGUGCCUGCAAAACUGUCAUCUGCUGCCGGGUGACCCCCUUGCAGAAGGCACAAGUGGUGGAACUGGUUAAGAAGUACAAGAAGGCGGUGACACUUGCCAUUGGAGAUGGGGCCAAUGAUGUCAGCAUGAUCAAAAGUGAGUGUAGUCUGUGUGCAUGGGUGGGCUGGGCAGGAGGGGGGAGGUGCCCUGAGGUCGGCUGGGGAGAGGGACUGUAACUUGGUGGGGUCUGAAGGGGGCGGCCACCCUCACCUGUCCUCCUCUCUCACCUCCACAGCGGCUCACAUCGGUGUGGGCAUCAGCGGGCAGGAAGGGAUCCAGGCUGUCCUGGCCUCCGAUUACUCCUUCUCGCAGUUCAAGUUCCUGCAGCGCCUCCUGCUGGUGCAUGGGCGCUGGUCCUACCUGCGCAUGUGCAAGUUCCUCUGCUAUUUCUUCUACAAGAAUUUCGCUUUUACCAUGGUUCACUUCUGGUUUGGCUUCUUCUGUGGCUUCUCGGCCCAGGUAGCGAAUGUACCCAAGCUGUGAUGCAUAUCUGUAAAUUUUUUAAGGGCAGAGGAGGUUGUAUUUGACCUGUUUGCUGCCUAAUCCCAUUGUCUAGUGCAUGCAUUUAAAAAAAAAAAUUGUUGAAAGAGUAGGGAUCCCCAAGAAGCCCUAAGCUCUACAUCAGCUGUCACAUCAGUCACUUCCCGUGCCUGAUGUGCAGUGAAGAGAGGUUGCGACUCCCUUUUCCCUGUCCGCUCUCUUGCAGAUGUGUACGAUCAAUAUUUCAUCACCUUGUACAACAUCGUGUACACCUCCCUCCCCGUCCUGGCUAUGGGCGUCUUUGACCAGGUAUGGGGGAGGUGGACGGCCAGGUAGGCGGGGGGAAGAGCACUGCUGUUACAGUGUGGACAUGGGACACGUGUGCCUGCCGACUUGUGGACACGGGGAAGGCCCUUUCAGCAGGGGAGGGUGUGGGGCAGGCUCCCCUCAGGUACAGCUUCUCCACAGCUCUCCUGAGUUGCUGAACAAAAACUGGGAGCAGCUGGCUUGAGGUUGUUGUUGCUAAAGUCUGUGGAAAGGAGGUUUGAGAGACAGGGUCUGCCUUAGUGAUCCUCAUCGGUCAUGUGGCCCUCCCCAUUCAGGAUGUGCCAGAGCAGCGGAGCAUGGAGUACCCUAAGCUCUACGAGCCAGGCCAGCUGAAUCUCCUCUUCAACAAGCGGGAGUUCUUCAUCUGCAUCGCCCAGGGCAUCUACACCUCUGUGCUGAUGUUCUUCAUUCCCUAUGGGGUGUUUGCUGAGGCGACCCGAGAUGAUGGGACCCAGCUGGCCGAUUACCAGUCCUUUGCGGUCACUGUGGCCACGUCACUGGUCAUCGUGGUCAGUGUGCAGGUAUGAAGCCUCCAAAGAACUGCCCUUUCCUAUGGGAGGAGUGAGCCUUCUGUCCUUAGAGCUGUUCUCAGUGUCCCACUUUAGUUUCUGGGGGGGGGGAGUUUUUAGGGGCUCUCCUGCCUGUGACAGCUCUGACCUCUUUCUGCAGAUUGGACUGGAUACAGGAUAUUGGACAGCCAUCAACCACUUCUUCAUCUGGGGCAGCCUCGCUGUUUACUUUGCCAUCCUCUUUGCCAUGCAUAGCAAUGGGCUCUUUGACAUGUUUCCAAACCAGUUCCGAUUUGUGGGUGAGUCCCUGUGGCUUCCUCUUGAGUCUUCUUUAGGAAUUACAGCUGUUCUAGGACUCGCAGGGUAGUCGGCCAGUGUGCACAUCACAAGCGUUUAUCAGCACUCCUUAUGUGCCAGGUAGCUGACCCGUCAGCAGGACAUCAGGGGUAGCUGGUCUAGACCCGGUCCCAAAGAGUUUCUGUAACCAUGAAAGUGAUGAAGCCCUUCUAGGCUGUGGGAGGUCAGGGCUCUGAGGCGGUCAGGGGUGGCAGGCUUUGUGGUUAGCAGAGACCCUGCCAGUGGGGUGGCCAUGGUUAGUCCCCCAGAAGAGGCUGCUAUGAGCAGAGCCAGGAAGUACAAAGAAGCAAGUGUUUCUGGGGAAUAAAAAGUGCUCUAGCUGGAUGGGCCCUGGAGAAUAGAGGGGGCUAGAGGCUGGAGGGCGGGCCUUCAGCUCUAAGAAUGACAGCUGCCAGCCUUUCAUGUGCUUUGCCACAAGUCUUCAUUUAUUUAGAGGAAGGGGGACAAAUGACAUCAAAAGAUUGAGUGUUAGAGCUGGGUACAGUGGUGCACGCCUGUAAUCCUAGCCUCUUGGAGGCCGAGACAGGAGGAUCACAAGUUCAAAGACAGCCUCUGCAAUGGCAAGAUGCUAAGCAACUCAGUGAGACCCUGUCUCUAAAUAAAUACAAAAUAGGGCUAGGGAUGUGCCCCAGGGGUCGAGUGCCCCUGAGUCCAAUCCCUGGUACCCCGCCCCCCCCAAAAAAAAAAAAAAAAGAUUGAGUAUUAGGAAUGUGAAGCAAGAGUUAAGCGUAGAGGCAAAUGCCUGCAAUCCCAGCUUCUCGGAGGAUGAGGCAGGAGAAGUGCAUGUUCAAGGCCAACCUGGGCCACCGAGUGAAACCCUGUUACAAAAUCAAAAAAUGCUGGGCACGGUGGCACACACCUAUAAUCCCAGCAACUCCGGAGGCUGAGGCAGGAGGAUGGCAAGUUUGUGGUCAGGUAUGUCCCUAGCCCCAGAACUUUGAAUUUUAAUUGAAAUUUGAUGGGAAGCCAUUGGAGGGCUUGAGGCAGGAAGUGUCAUAAAAUGAUAAUGUUUUUAAAGGACCACUUCUAUUGUUGUGUGACUAAAAUAAAGUAUAGGGAGUAAAGGUGGAAAUGGGGAGACCAGUUGGAGGCUAUUGCAGGAUUUGAGGAUGACACGUGAUGGCUUGGGACACAGUGAAGGGCAGAGGGACUCCCUAGACAUUUUGAAAAUGGAGCCAACAGAUUGAAUGUGGGUUGUGAGCAAGACAGAAAAGUGGUGAUGGGUGGGGGGUUUAAUCAGAGCCGCUCGGUGAGUGGUAGUUGUUUCCUGAGCUGGGAAAGGCGUGAGCAGAUUUGGGGUGGAAGAGAAGGUGGUUCACUGUGGUCGAGGUGAAACUUGAGAUGCCUGUUGCAUAUUCAACCAUAGUUAAGGAAAUAGCUCUGGGGCUUUUGGGGGAGAAUUUGGAACCAGUCAAACGUCAAAUGUGGAGAUAAGCAUUUGAGGAGUGGGCAGAGAGAAGAGGGAAGCCAAGAUGAUUUAGGUUUUGAGAUUGGGGAAGUGGAACUGCCAGAAAUAGAAAUGGAGAAGUCAGGGGCUACCCUUGUGUCCACUUUGUGAGUCCCAAGGCCCCCGUCUCCUGUGUACCUCCAGGGAAUGCCCAGAACACCCUGGCCCAGCCCACAGUGUGGCUCACCAUCGUGCUCACCACGGUCGUCUGCAUCAUGCCUGUGGUGGCCUUUCGGUUCCUCAGGCUCAGCCUGAAGCCAGACCUGUCUGACACGGUGAGCCGUCCUGGGCUGUCCGCUCCGGGGGCGGAGACCCUUGGCCGGAAGGGCUGUCUCAGGCACCGGUGUGGCUGUCUCGGGACUGUGGCUUGGGGGUUGGUGGUGGUCCUAAGCUGCACAGGCGUGGAGGGUCCUGUGCUGGCCUGUCCCAGGGCCCCGGCUCCCUUCUCCGUGGUGGCGUGUCACACCGCUGGCUCUUCCCGUGUCCCCCAGGUCCGCUACACGCAGCUGGUGAGGAAAAAGCAGAAAGCGCAGCACCGCUGCAUGCGGCGGGCCGGCCGCACGGGGUCGCGGCGCUCGGGCUACGCCUUCUCGCACCAGGAGGGCUUCGGGGAGCUCAUCAUGUCUGGCAAGAACAUGCGGCUCAGCUCCCUGGCGCUGUCCAGCUUCACCGCCCGCUCCAGCUCCAGCUGGAUCGAGAGCCUGCGCAGGAAGAAGAGCGACAGCGCCGGCAGCCCCGGCGGCGGGGCCGAGAAGCCCCUCAAGGGGUGAAGACCUGCGGUCACAGGACACUCCGUGCUGGUGACCAGAGCAGCUGGCCAGUGGGGCGCCAAGGGAACAGUAUCUCGAACUGUUGGUCCUCGCUCUCUGCCUCCCGUCUCCUCUGGUAGCAAAAAAAUAUAAAAUUAAAA